CUGGCAGAUCCAAUAAAAUUGGAACGAUGUAGAGAAAAUUAGCAUGGACCCCGUGCAAGAAUGACACACACAAAAAAUAAAAAGUCCCAAUAGAUACAUUUUUUU
rfam:Triticum aestivum genome assembly, contig: Triticum_aestivum_CS42_TGACv1_scaffold_499985_6BL